rnacentral:tRNA from 1 species
AAUACUGUGGUGCAAUGGAUAGUGCAUUGGACUUCUAAUUCAAAGGUUGUGGGUUAGAGUCCCGCCAGAGUCA